AACGCGAAGAACCUUACCAAGUCUUGACAUCCUCUUGACGGAACCGUAACGGGUUCGUUCCUUCGGGACAAGAGAGACAGGUGGUGCAUGGUUGUCGUCAGCUCGUGUCGUGAGAUGUUGGGUUAAGUCCCGCAACGAGCGCAACCCUUAUUCUUAGUAGCCAGCAGGUAAGGCUGGGCACUCUAGGGAGACUGCCAGGGAUAACCUGGAGGAAGGUGGGGAUGACGUCAAAUCAUCAUGCCCCUUAUGAUUUGGGCUACACACGUGCUACAAUGGCGUAAACAAAGGGAAGCGAAGCCGCGAGGCGGAGCAAAUCCCAAAAAUAACGUCUCAGUUCGGAUUGUAGUCUGCAACUCGACUACAUGAAGCUGGAAUCGCUAGUAAUCGCGAAUCAGAAUGUCGCGGUGAAUACGUUCCCGGGUCUUGUACACACC
rnacentral:rRNA from 1 species